rnacentral:rRNA from 1 species
CAAGUCGAACGAGAUCCAAUGUGUAGCAAUACACAGGAAGAUCUAGUGGCGAACGGGUGAGGAACACGUGAGAAACGUACCCCGGACUCUGGGAUAACAAUUCGAAAGGAUUGCUAAUACCAGAUGACGUCGGAAGUCCGCAUGGACAUCUGACGAAAGGGAUUCCGGUUUGGGAGCGUCUCGCGGACCUAUCAGCUAGUUGGAGGGGUAACGGCCCACCAAGGCAACGACGGGUAGCUGGUCUGAGAGGAUGGUCAGCCACACUGGGACUGAGACACGGCCCAGACUCCUACGGGAGGCAGCAGUGGGGAAUCUUGCGCAAUGGGCGAAAGCCUGACGCAGCAACGCCGCGUGCGGGAAGAAGGCUUUCGGGCUGUAAACCGCUUUCAGUAGGAACGAAACUGACGGUACCUACAGAAGAAGGAGCGGCCAACUAUGUGCCAGCAGCCGCGGUGACACAUAGGCUCCAAGCGUUGUCCGGAUUUAUUGGGCGUAAAGAGCUCGUAGGCGGUUGAGUAAGUCGGGUGUGAAAACUUUGGGCUUAACCCAAAGAUGCCACUCGAUACUGUUCAACUUGAGUUUGGUAGGGGAGUGGGGAAUUCCUUGUGUAGCGGUGAAAUGCGCAGAUAUAAGGAGGAAC